CCCGGUAGUCCUGGCCGUAAACGAUGGGUACUAGGUGUAGGAGGUAUCGACCCCUUCUGUGCCGGAGUUAACGCAAUAAGUACCCCGCCUGGGGAGUACGACCGCAAGGUUGAAACUCAAAGGAAUUGACGGGGGCCCGCACAAGCUUGAAACUCAAAGGAAUUGACGGGGGCCCGCACAAGCGGUGGAGUAUGUGGUUUAAUUCGACGCAACGCGAAGAACCUUACCAGGUCUUGACAUUGAUGGACAGAACUAGAGAUAGUUCCUCUUCUUCGGAAGCCAGAAAACAGGUGGUGCACGGUUGUCGUCAGCUCGUGUACGGUUGUCGUCAGCUCGUGUCGUGAGAUGUUGGGUUAAGUCCCGCAACGAGCGCAACCCCUAUCUUAUGUUGCCAGCACGUAAUGGUGGGAACUCAUGAGAGACUGCCGCAGACAAUGCGGAGGAAGGCGGGGAUGACGUCAAAUCAUCAUGCCCCUUAUGACCUGGGCUACACACGUACUACAAUGGGAGUUAAUAGACGGAAGCGAGAUCGCGAGAUGGAGCAAACCCGAGAAACACUCUCUCAGUUCGGAUCGUAGGCUGCAACUCGCCUACGUGAAGUCGGAUUCGCUAGUAAUCGCAGGUCAGCAUACCGCGGUGAAUACGUUCCCGGGCCUUGUACACA
rnacentral:rRNA from 1 species